UAUACAUAUUUCUCCCCUAGGGUUAUGGUGGCUAUAUUGCAUCAAUGAUCUUAAAAUCAGAUGAAAAGCUUUUUAAAUGUGGAUCAGUGGUUGCACCUAUCACAGACUUGAAAUUGUAUGCCUCAGCUUUCUCUGAAAGAUACCUUGGGAUGCCAUCCAAGGAAGAAAGCACUUACCAGGCAGCCAGUGUGCUACAUAAUAUUCAUGGCUUGAAAGAAGAAAAUAUAUUAAUAAUUCAUGGAACCGCUGACA